GUGAUUGUGGCUCAGUGGUAGAGUGCUCACCUAGCAUGUGUGAGGCCCUGGGUUCAAAGACCCUCAGCACCACA
rnacentral:tRNA from 1 species